AUUGAACGCUGGCGGCAGGCCUAACACAUGCAAGUCGAGCGGAUGAAGGGAGCUUGCUCCUGGAUUCAGCGGCGGACGGGUGAGUAAUGCCUAGGAAUCUGCCUGGUAGUGGGGGAUAACGUCCGGAAACGGGCGCUAAAACCGCAUACGUCCUGAGGGAGAAAGUGGGGGAUCUUUGGACCUCACGCUAUCAGAUGAGCCUAGGUCGGAUUAGCUAGUUGGUGGGGUAAAGGCCUACCAAGGCGACGAUCCGUAACUGGUCUGAGAGGAUGAUCAGUCACACUGGAACUGAGACACGGUCCAGACUCCUACGGGAGGCAGCAGUGGGGAAUAUUGGACAAUGGGCGAAAGCCUGAUCCAGCCAUGCCGCGUGUGUGAAGAAGGUCUUCGGAUUGUAAAGCACUUUAAGUUGGGAGGAAGGGCAGUAAGUUAAUACCUUGCUGUUUUGACGUUACCAACAGAAUAAGCACCGGCUAACUUCGUG
rnacentral:rRNA from 1 species